AUACGGAGGGGGCUAGCGUUGUUCGGAAUUACGGGGCGUAAAGGGCGUGUAGGCGGAUCGAUCAGUCAGGCGUGAAAGCCCCGGGCUCAACCCGGGAACUGCGUUUGAAACUGUCGAUCUUGAGUUCGGGAGAGGGUAGUGGAAUUCCCAGUGUAGAGGUGAAAUUCGUAGAUAUUGGGAAGAACACCAGUGGCGAAGGCGGCUACCUGGACCGAUACUGACGCUGAUGCGCGAAAGCGUGGGGAGCAAACAGGAUUAGAUACCCCGGUAGUCC
rnacentral:rRNA from 1 species